rnacentral:lncRNA from 1 species
CUUGAUGUUUUAAUCCUGCCAGGAGUUUCCGUGAGGUUUUUUCAGUGGGAUUAUUUGUGUCCCUGUGGCUCUUCAGGGAGCUUGCAGAAUUCUAGCUAAAGAUAAGAAGGGCAUCGCUUCAAAUGGGAGGCCAAUCAAUGCAGCAUUAGGAAGGCUUCAUUCAGCUCAGCACCACCUUGGUGAAGAUCCCGGUGUUACACAUCCAAUCGUUCACCUCCUUCCAAGACUAUGACAUUCCAGGAAACCUUCACUGCUAAGAGGAACUAAGAUCUAGAGUAUCUCCUCGAGGAAGUACAACUGACUUGUCUUUGGACAAAAUUGAGAAGAACUCAUAAACUUGGCUUCCUCGCUUCUGCUCCUCAGACGCGCGUGGAUGAUUUGAAGAUAUUAGCCUAACAAGAUGGAAGCAGGUUUAAAAUUUUACAUAAGAAGUUACCUUUUUCAGUUGUGUUGAUGUUCCUUUCAGCUGGUCCUAUAGUACCCCUCCUCAGGAAUGUCUCCCCAGUGCAAGGACAAAGACUGAAGAGACUGCUAUAUUGAUGGACUCUCAAGCCAACUAUGAAGUUGAAACAAAGAAAGUGAUCACCUGAAGACACCUCCUCUGCUAAGAAACACCCCCAAAUUGUGCAGCUUCUGCCACUAGAACUCUCAGAACAAGAGACAAUCUUUUCAAGAAACAGAAAAACUCAAUAAUGACAUCUAGAUUUUCAUGAGCCAAGAACUUUCCCUUCCUCAUGUGUAUUCCUCUGUUUGUACUUAAAUUCAUGUGACAUUCAUUUUUUUCCUAGUAUGGAUAUGCUUAUUAAUGCACUUGUUUCAAAAUCCCAAAUUGCACAAAUGUGUUAAUAUUUUAAGAAACAAAAUGAAUCCUACAAGGAGAAUGAUUUUUAGCCACACAUAGGGUUGGAUCUUGAGAGUGACCUACAGAAUAAAAGUACUUUUAAAAUAAAGUAGUCAGAGGCUAUUCAAAGGGUAAAAUAAUCAUAGUACCACAUUGGUCCACUUGACACUAACCAAUCGAUCAUUUUUUUUUAAUCAAGAAAGCUAGAUUCUAUCAGAUAAAAUCACUGCUUCUAAAGAGUUUAAAUCUAGUUAGAAAAAGUUAUAGAAAUGUUUGCAAAGAUAAGUAACAGAUAGAGUCAGUAGAGGAUAAGAUCAAAAACAAAACCAAGCAAAAGAUGAGUUCAGGGGAGUUUGCCAUCAAGUUGGCAAAACUGACUUACUUAGGGAAGAAAGUUAUAAAACAGGAAAAUAUGAGAUGAACCUUGAGUGAUGUGGAAGAUUUAGAUAAAUGGAAAGGAAGGAGAAAAUGGAGUUCUUUAGGUGGUUGUAAUUGGAGGAGGAAAUGAAUACACACAUCUUGUUGACUUAAACCCAGACAUUCAGCAGCUCUCUAUACAUAUCUGGAAAAGACUGCACAGUCACCUCCUGUCUCUCACCCCAGGUAUUACUUAGAAUUAUUAUCAUAUUUCCCUUCCUUUAAAGUAAGUAAGGGUGAUUGGUGACAAUAUGGAGAACUAUGAUUUUUCCAUUAACCUAAUAAUAAUUGGUAUUUAUUGAGUUCUGUUAAGCAUUUUACAUAUUAACUCACUUAAGCCUUUCAACAGCCUUGCAAAAUAGGUAUUAUUAUCCCCAUUUUACAGGCAAGAAAACUGAGGUUUAAGUAACUUGCCGAAGUGCCAUAUACAGGGCUCACAUUCAGUAUUGCAGUUGCAAAGCUCAUGAUCUAUAGUGCCAAGUUGCAAUAUUGUAGUCAAUGUCACAAUUAUUACCCCUUUUUAUAUUCCUUGAUAUUUUUCCAUGGCAAACAAUUAGCUAUUUCAUUUAAUAAUCACCUAAAACUUUUCAGUCUUCUGAUUAAAAUUACGCUGGAGUGAUAGAAUGUAUUUUCAUGAUAGAAAUUGGGAAAAAAAAUGGGGAAUGAAGUUUAUCAGCAUUUCAGACUUGUUUUUUUUUUUUUUUUUUGCAAGACUUUGAUGAGAUUGUUCACUUUUGUCUAUGUAAAAUCCCAAAUCCUUGAGAAUAAAAAAGGGGGAGGUUUAAGUCACUUGUUGCAAUGCCCUUUUUAAUAGAGGCAAUAAAUCUAAAGGCCAUAAAUUUAGAGUGACUUACAGAAGAUCGAACUUUGGAGUGUGGCAGAGUAAGGGAUGGAAACCGGGCCCUCCAGUUCACUAUCAGUAGCUUUUGCACUGGUCUGCCCUUCCUAAAUUAAGUAUGCACUUCAAUUUGAUGAGUGGAAACAGUCUAUCUGGGCAGUAACCAGGGAGCUUUGUGCCUAGUAGAUUGCUUCUGUUCUGCACUUCUUUGGUUUCCCACCUCAAUGUAAAAAAUAGCUAGCAAUGAAGUCCAGAAGUUGUCAAUGGUUCAUCCCCAGAAGAAUGCAUAAUGUCCAAAGUUGUAUGUGUAUGAUGUCUUCAAUGGUAUUAAGUUAUUUCAAAUUCUUAGUUCACCUACAUAAAUCAUUUCUAACAAGCAUCUUCUUAACCAACUUUAUGCACAGUGUAUGUUUGUAAGUGCUUCUGCACGAAUGUUUAUACAUGACUGUUUCCAUAGUACUUAUGUUUUUAAAAAUAUUCAGUCAUUUCCUACUAUAAUCCUCAUGUAUCCAUGUAACUGACUCAAAAAUACUUCAGCCACAGAAAGCUAAAACUGAGCAAAUCUCAUUCUUCUUUUCCAUCCCCUUUGCAUGUGGCUGGCAUUUAGUAAUGAUUAAUAAUAUGGCCAGCUGAAUAACAGAGGUUUGAGACACAAUUCUUUCUCAAAGGAGUCAGCUAAGCUGGGUCUACUUAUGGACAAACAUCUAAAUGUGUGGAAGUAUCUGAUAUUUGACAAUGGUAAAUUUCCACUUAGCUAGCUAGCAUUGUCAGACUUCAAUCUCCUCAUGGCUCUGGCCGUCCUGUUUUAAGCAUGAUAAUUGUUGGCCACAUCUCACAUAGUUCUCAUUGAGUGAGUUCAUAAAUAAACAGGGUUUUUUUUUUUUUUUAAAGAGCAGCCAAGCACAAAGUGUGACUUUGUUGACAUUUUAUGUGACUUUGUCAUAUGUUCCUAACCCCCAAUAAAAGCAAUGUUGCAUCAACUGUGAA